GCUGGGUGCUGUGGCAUGCACCUGUAGUCCCAGGUACUCAGGAGGCUGAGGAGUGAGGAUUACUUGAGCUCAGGAGAUUAAGGCUGCAAUGUGCUAUAAUCACACCUGUAAAUAGCCAUCGCACUGUAGCCUGGGCAACAUAGCAAGACUGUGUCUCUU
rnacentral:SRP_RNA from 1 species